UGCUGACGAGUGGCGCACGGGUGCGUAACGCGUAUACAAUCUACCUUUUGCUGAGGGAUAGCCCAGAGAAAUUUGGAUUAAUACCUCAUAGUAUUAUUGAGUGGCAUCAUUUAAUAAUUAAAGGUUACGGCAAAAGAUGAGUAUGCGUACCAUUAGUUUGUUGGUAAGGUAACGGCUUACCAAGACUACGAUGGUUAGGGGUCCUGAGAGGGAGAUCCCCCACACUGGUACUGAGACACGGACCAGACUCC
rnacentral:rRNA from 1 species